CGUCCUCUGCCGUGACCGACGGCAUGCGCAACAUUCGCCUUGUCCCUUAAUGACGACCACGGGGGCGCCGCGGAAUCCGGGUGUGCAGGUCCGCCUCGUAGCGGGAAGCCCGAUGGAUCCCAAGCGUCCCCACUUGAACCCCGGGUUCAAGGUCGUUUCGCAGGCAUCGGCACAGGCGGAGGACGU
rnacentral:other from 1 species